rnacentral:tmRNA from 1 species
GGGGAUGCACUGGAUUUGAUAGGAGGAUCUCAUAGUUGUUAUUAGCCACUAUCCGACGAGCGUACCGGAUUUAAAUAAUCGCUUAAACCAAAAAUGCAAAAAAUCUUAAAAGAGCUUUUGCUCUUGUUCCUAACUACGCUGUAGUUUAGAACAAACCAAACUCAAUCGCCGACUCCUACUGAGCAUUGAGUAGACCUAGUAGGUAAAACCUAUAGUUGUUGGUGUGAAAAUCUAUGCCUGUUUGUUGGCUACCAUAUCCUUCAUCUUCAACUUUAAAAAUUUGGAUAGUAGAUAAACUAUAGUGGUAGACCAUAAUGAUUAUGCCUUUUAGACAUGGGUUCGAUACCCAUCAUCUCCAAAA